AGACAUCCCCAGAAAACCUUUGGGUGUUUAGUAAGUGUGAUGCAUAUUAAUUCACUCAACAAACAUUUAUUGCUAUAAAUUGCUAUAAUAUUCCCACUAUGAAGAAUAAGAAAUACGCUAAGGACAUAAAGAGAUGCCGUGGGGAAGGUCCAGAACUGCUACAGAAAGACUGGCCAGGAAGGACCUCCCUGGGAAGGAGAGCUUUGUAUUUGAACAAAGCUCUGCAUAAUGAGGAGCCAGGCGAGAAAAGAUGAGGCGGGAAAGAGUUUCAGGUCAACUCCAAGGCCAGGACCAGCUUCCAGAGAUACAACCAGGGGCCAGACUCCAGGGCUGCGUAGAUCCUGGUAAGGAGAUGGAAUUUUAUUCGAAUUGCAACAGGAAGCCGGUGGAGGGUUGAUAAAAUUCUUUGGCUGCUGUGCAGAGCAAGAGUGGAAGCAAGGAUUUCAGUUUAAAGGCUUUGCAGCCGCCCAGGCAAGCCGGGAUAUUGUUCUCUGCAAAUGAACACUCUGUCCUAUCUGGUUCAUACUGACAUUCUGAUUGAGCCUUACAUGAAUUAAAUGCCUAGUGUGUGUUUGGCUAGAUGAUUUUCAGUCUAAAUUAGAUCAUUAUGUCCUUAGAAUAUCAAGGUUCCACUGACCUAUUGUUGAGAACUCUUGAAGCGUUUGCUGUGAUCUAGCUACUCCGAAUGUACCCCUUUGGAAACAACGUCAGGCAUUUGAGAAAUAUCUGACUAGGGCCAGAAUCAGAGGCCCAUGAAAUGGAAGAAUUCACUGGUAAAGAAACAGUACUUAGUUCACAGCCUUGUUCAUAGCUGUAUCCCCAGCCCUCAGCAUAGAGGCUGACACACAAAUAUUUGUUGAAGGUGUUAAUAUAUGAGCCUAGUAAGAAUUCAGGAAAUGCUACAGUGAAAUUUUAGUAGCCCAGCACCCCAACCAGCUGAGCUAAGUAGCCUUGGACACUAGCCGUGGUGUUUGAAGACUGUUUUUUCAGAAGGAUGGGAAUGGACCCAUAUCUCCUCCAAGCUUGGCAUGCCCACAUCCAAGCUUUAUUGCUGCUGAAAGCUUCCUGAACUGCCUGACCACGGACAAUCCCAUCUCUAGCUAGUCCCCAGCCCCCACCUGCGAAACCCUCAUCCUCCAGAGAUACUCUGACCAGCUGCUGGCUCACACCCAGCGGGCGCCUGGCCCCUCACUCAGCUUCCCAGCUGCCUCUUCCUCUGCCCCCCUUCCCACCCUGCACCAAAACAGGGGUGCCUUUUGUGGGAGCAAUCAAGCCCUAAAUCACUAUUUAUAUUUUUCGGAGUAAACUUAACGCUGAGAAAGGGUUCUGGAAUGACUGCACUGGGGACUGAAGCCCAUCUGGAAACAUGAAUAAUGUGAAAUAUAUCCCUCCAUGGAUUCCCCACAAGACCAAUUACAUUAUCAUCCUUUCUGAGAAUUUCUGCCAAUUUUUUAUGGGGUCACCAGAAAGUUAUAUCUUAAGUGAAAACUGCACAGAUUUAUAUAGGGGGUAGUUAACUGGUGGAGUGAGGUAUGUGGAAGUAAACUGCAGGAAACUGUGAUACUCCACAGAUGGGAAUGUGUGUCGAUUUGGCUCUUCACUUUAGGAAGUGGAAUGGAUUCAUUCUGCCGUUUACUGAAUGACUACUGUGUGCCACACACUCUUCUAGGCACUGGGAAGAGAGCAAUAAACAACACGAAUGUUGCCCUCAUGGAGCUGAUAUUUUAAUAGCCUUGGAAGAUGGGCUAUGAAAGGCUCACGAUAAAAUGGUGCCCAAAGCCAACAUGUGACUUUUAGUCCUGUUUGUGGUAUAGACUCACCGAGCAAUGUGAAGAAACUGAGUUUCUUGCUUCAUCACAGCUGAGGGUGAGAUAGGUGUGCUGCCCUUUCUCAAGAAUGUGGGGUGGAAUCGUAUUCAUUGUUUGAAAACUCAGAAUAAUAAGAGAUUUGGCAUUUAUGUGUUCGUGCAUACUUCUCUCCUCAAGCUGCAAAGUUCAACCAAGAGGUAUUUGGCAGAAGGCCUUUUGCUAAAGCAAUCACCUGACAAUGUGAGUGGGGAUCUGAGCCAGCCAGGUUCUACCUCCACUGGAGAGGUUUGAUUAGGUGAUGAGCACACAUUAUUCAUAAAAUUGCAGAGCGGCUGUAAUUUACCACAUCAUGGCUGGAAAUGAUCUGCCUCCGAGGAGCAAUGUCAAUGAAGGGUCAUCUUCCCUAGUGUCAGUAGUUCUUAAACUUUAGUUUCCAAGGAAGCACUGCAUGUGUCUGUAACAGAAAGAUACCCGUUUCUCCCCUAACAACUCAAAAUGAGAAGGUCUGGGAAAGGGUCCAAGAAUUCAUAUUUUACCACUAUCCCUGCUCAUUGGGCUGCAGGUGGUUCUACACUCAGAGAACCCCCACGCUGUGUUCACCAUAAGACAGAGGAUUCAGACCUCUAAUUCCCCUCACCCGGACACAAGAGCAUCUUGGCUCAAACCUCUUCUUUGGAAGGGAAGGAGAAAGGGAAGCUGGUUGGAACAGUUUCCUUUACUGAUUAUAGCUUAUUCCUUUCUCUCGUGAAUUCAGCAAAUAGAGUUUGGCAACUACAAUGCACAAGGUGCAGCCUACCCACUAGAGCGAGGAUUUUCCAAUAAUGAACUGAUGCUUCCCAGCCCCUGCCCCCUGGAGCGGAAGAAGUUUGUUAUGGAUGAGGGAAUGGAAUUAACGGAGCCUGAGCUGGCCGGCACUGCACUAUGCGAAGUGCCCUCUCAAACACCCUUUCAUUUAAUCUUCCCAAGUUCUGCUCCUCAUUUCCUUCAAGUCUUUACUGAACUAUCCCCUUUGCAGUGAAACUUUGCAGGAUCACCCUAAAGCAAACUCAACGCAUCAAAAGCUGGACUCCUGAUAGUUCCCCCCAACCUUUUCCUCCCAGAGUCUUCCCUGCCUCAGUAAAGAGCUAUUUCAUUCUCCCAGUUGCUCAAGCCAAAAAUGGAAUCAAUUUAGUUCUUCUGCAUCCCGUAUCUGAUCACAAGUCCUGUUAGCCCUGCUUUUAAGAUACAUCCAGAACCCUGCCAUCUGCCCGUCUUCUGUUGCCAUCACGCUUGUCCACACCCUCCUUACCCCUUGUCUGGGUGAUUGCGGUGGUCUCCCAGCUGCCCUGCCAGCGUCUGCCCUGGUCCCUCUUCUUGACUAUUCUUGACCCAGCGCCACCAUGUUAAAAUACAAAUCUGAUCGGGUAACUCCUCUGCUCCAAACUAGGUUUCCUUGUCACUCCGAGUAAAAGCCAAAGUCCUUACAAUAACCCACAGGGCCCUGACCUGCCUUGCUCUCCCCUGUUUGCCUCUUUCUGCUCUCCCCUCACUUGCUCCUCCUGCCCACACCAUGCAGUCCCAAUGUGGCAUCUUUGCACUUGCUGUUCCUGGAAUUCUCUUCCUCCAUUUGUUCACACGGCUGGCCUAGAUCCCGCCACACCUUUUCAUAACUACUGCUUUCUCAGUCGGGUUAGCUGGCCUCCCUGUUGAAUGUUGGAACUCAUCUACUAUUUUUCCUAUCCAUCUUUCUAUUUUGCACUAACAUCUCCAUAUGUUUUUUUCUUUUCUUUUUUUUUUUUUUGAGACGGAGUUUCACCCUUGUCACCCAGGAUGGAGUGCAAUGGUGCCUUCUUG
rnacentral:lncRNA from 10 species